UGGGUUGUGGCUCAGUGGUAGAGUGCUUGCCUAGCACGCAUGUGGCACUGGGUUCGAUCCUCAGCACCACAU
rnacentral:tRNA from 1 species